GGGAAACGCCACACUGUAUAUGCUGUUACCAGUGUGAAGGAGUGAUUUUGCGGAAUAGCUAACCCUCUUUGAAAGAUGUGGCAUGAUAUGAGACGAAGAUGAAGUACGGUUUAUACUUAGAAACACGAGAUUGAUAAUGAUAAAACCACGCCGAAGGGAUGUACAUCAGCGGACUAGCAAAGAAGACCCGGCCGAAUCGGUUCCUUGUCAUGAAAUUACAGGCAAGGGGGCUCUGUACCUACAAAUGAAAUAAACUAAUGAAUGAGACUAACAAGAAUUGGACUCACAAACGAGGAGACUAACGAGAAUUUAACUCACGAACGAGCCCAUUCGUCUUCCCAGAGGGCGAGUCGACACGACCACAGGACCUCAAUACUACAGAAUUUCUGGUCUUUGUAUUCAUAGAUUAAUGUAUAGUUUAUGCUAUAUCGCUCUAACAGAGCGAAAUAGCAAUGAUGCUUUUCCAAAUACUAAUAAAUGAUUUCAAAUAACGACA